rnacentral:rRNA from 1 species
AGAACGAACGCUGGCGGCGUGCCUGAGACAUGCAAGUCGUGGGAGAACGUCGUAGCAAUACGGCUAGUAAACCGGCGCACGGGUGAGUAACACGUGGACAAUUUGCCGUUGAGUCUGGGAUAACCCGUCGAAAGACGAGCUAAUACCGGAUAAGACCACAGGAAGUUCGCUUCCCGAGGUAAAAGAUGGCCGUCUGCUCCUGCAAGCUAUCACUCAUCGAGAAGUUCGCGGCCUAUCAGCUAGUUGGUGAGGUAACGGCCCACCAAGGCUAAGACGGGUAGC